rnacentral:rRNA from 1 species
AACGAACGCUGGCGGCAUGCCUAACACAUGCAAGUCGAACGAGACCUUCGGGUCUAGUGGCGCACGGGUGCGUAACGCGUGGGAACCUGCCCUUAGGUUCGGAAUAACUCCCCGAAAGGGGUGCUAAUACCGGAUAAUGUCUUCGGACCAAAGAUUUAUCGCCUUUGGAUGGGCCCGCGUUGGAUUAGCUAGUUGGUAGGGUAAAAGCCUACCAAGGCGACGAUCCAUAGCUGGUCUGAGAGGAUGAUCAGCCACACUGGGACUGAGACACGGCCCAGACUCCUACGGGAGGCAGCAGUGGGGAAUAUUGGACAAUGGGCGAAAGCCUGAUCCAGCAAUGCCGCGUGAGUGAUGUAGGCCUUAGGGUUGUAAAGCUCUUUUACCCGGGAUGAUAUUGACAGUACCGGGAGAAUAAGCUCCGGCUAACUCCGUG